GUUUCAAUAUCAAAUUUUGAUAAAAAUCGUAAAUAGUACGGUCAUUUAAAAUAUAUAUACUCAAACUUUGCUUUGAAUCGUUUUUUGUUAGCAUUGACUUAUUGAUUUAUCAUUGCUUACAGAUGUAAAUUAAACAAGAUUAUGUAUCUUACCUUUCUGACUUCUCACCUACAACAGUGAUAAACUCAUUCUCAGUAUCAGCUUUCUUUUUAUUUUUAAAGGCGUGGUUAUAAAUUAUUGUUUGGAUUAUUGGUCAAAUAAAAGAGAUAACAUUGUCAGAAUGACGGGAUUCUCGAGAAAUCGGUUUGUCGUAUCUAUAUUUGUACAGUCAUUUUAUUAUAUUAUUGUAUUGCAUUCUAAGUUUCACGUUACCACACUAUCACCACUACCGGUGUGUAGUGAAUAAUGUUUACGUGGAAUAGUUGAUGGUAUAUUCUAUUGCGUCCGACGAAAUAACAAAAAUAUUUGGAGAUAGACGAUGAAGUGGCAGAAUUAAAUUGUAUAUGUGUUAUGCGUAUGCAUUUGUACUUAGAUACGGAGAGAUCGUCGUCGUUUUAGUAAUACACUGCUGCAGAGGGCGUGCCACCUAGAGGUUUUCAUCGUCCUCUCUCUCAUCGGCGCAAGUCUCGGGCAAGACGUGGAGACACCCUGCCCUAGUGUUACAGUAAUAUCCGAUCCGAGGACGAACUGGCGCCUCUGCGUUUGUAUCUGUGCCAAACGUCCGACAAAAGCCCAUUGCAAUCCCCUUUGUCGUCUCCACCACUAUCCCGACCACCGCCGUCACCGCUAUACCGACAUCUGACCAGGCUCCUCAUUCUCUACGCACAUAGCUCAAACCGCAACGUCCUAUAAUACAGUGAUCUUUUGUAGCUCUUUUUAUGCGCGCGCGGAGCGAUGAUGAGUAUAUUAUUUUCUUUUCGGAUUUUCUCUAUAUACUGUUUUCCGGUACGUAUAUUUUAUAUCGUAUACCAGUAUAAUAUCAUAUCAUCACCUCCACAAUUUCAAAAUCAGCAAUAAAUUCGAAAACUGACAUUUGUCAAAGUUUCCUUCCGUUAUAUCAUUAUUAGUUUAAAUAUAUACUGUCUAGGUACCCAUACUCGUAUAUGAUCUGUUUGUGUAAAUCGUGUUUAGAUCGAUUGGGCGAUACAUGGUUUAAUGUUAAAAACAAAGUAUCGAGUUAAGAUAUAUUUAUACACUGCAGAAAUUUGGUUGGUAUGGUAUCUGUGUUUUUCGAACGGUUUCAUCACGGAUUUCUCCGAAAUACGUUUAUACAAAAUAUAUGCAUUCUCCCACCUUUUUUACCCUAAUGUUUUUGAACGAUUUAAAAAAAACACUUUUUACAUUUCAAAUUUAAAAUUGAUAGA